CUAACCUAAAUACAACUUCAUCUUCAAGAACCCCAAAUCAAUGCUUCCGCAUCGCAUCUUCUUCUUUAUUUGGAUCCUGCAAACUAACAUCGAUCAUAUCGCUCGAUUCUCCGUUUUGUUCUUUGGGAUUAAUCUGGUUGGUCUGUUUGUUACAAGACAAAUAUUUUAACAGCAGGAGCUACUUCUCUUUGAAGCAUUCGAUCGAGCACAUGGAGUGAAUAGCUCGUCUUCCCCCUCCAAAGACAUGUUUAUUAGAUUAUUUUAACCAAAUAGAUGUAAAUUUUUUCCUUCCACAACCAUUCAAUUCAAGGAGAAAGGGAGAUGGAAUAUGCAAUCAUGGAUUUAGGGAUGCCGAAUAAAAUAGAAGGAAUAUCUAGACGUCCCUGUUCUUAUUCAGUUCUUAUUCAGACUGGUGUUAUUUUGAUUGAAAUUGUUGAUUGAAGUUGCUGAAGUGGUGGGUUUGUUGGGCAAGUUUGAUUUGUGAAUCUCCAAGCACAUUCUAAUCUCAAAGAUGAUAUAGAUUGUCUUCCUUAGGAACGAUUGAUACGAUUUAGUGAAUGUGGGAUUUAAUCGUGUGUUUCAUGUAACUAUAGAAUUUAGUUUUGCAGUGUGGAUAUUCAUAGUGGGUCUUCGCCUGAACUACCUGUGAUUUAGGGUUGUUCGGAUACUCUACCCUUUUUACCGAAAGAGCUAUGGGGUUGUAUCGGACUGAAUCGAGUAUUGGUGUUUUCUUAGAAAAUACGAUUGUAAUGGUUAGGAUGCAGGUAUUUACUUUUUCCACCCUUAGAAUAAAACUUCUUUUGCAUAAAGGGUCUCUACAUACGUUAGGCGUACAUAUGCGUACACUUAGCGUACCAGGGAGGAUUGGACGCGAGCAGGCACCACGUACGCAGGGAGUAUGUGGCUUAAGACCAAAACCCUUACUUUAGGGAAAGGACCCUAUUUAAACACACUUAUGUCAUUUGGACCAAACCCUAAACAACCUCCAUUUCCUCUUUUCGUCCUUAAACCCUAUAUUUGCAAGAGAGUGUGAUUUUUGAGCCUAAAGGUGAUUUUGGUGGCCAUUUUAGUGGGUUUGCAAGAAGGAGAAGGUGGUGUUCAAGCCAUGAACAUGGGAAGACCUUGUGGAUCCUGCAUCUAGAGCAUCUUGAAGAGCUUUUGAAGGUACUUGCGGUACAAAAGGGAAGAGCCCGACUUGAUGGUGCAACAUUCACUCUCCAACACUUUCUGCAUUUAUCUGUUUUGAUACUCAGAUAUUUGAUACAAUAUGAUGUAAUGAAUUUUUGGGAACAUAUUAUUAUUAAAUUUCUAUUAUUAAAAAUAAAAAAAUUUACCGGGUU